rnacentral:lncRNA from 1 species
AUGAAUGACCCGGAUUUACAUUAUUUUUAUACUAUGAGAAUGUGAAUGCCCUAGUCCGGAUUUGCAUUAUCACUCUAAGGCCCUAGUCCGGCUUAGAGUUAGGGAUUGCGCCAUUUCCCUUUUGUUGUGUGCCAAAAUUGUGUUGUUACGGUAAAUGAUUGCUAGAGUGGAUGCCUUAGUACCCAAAUUUUGUCAACUGUUUUACAAACCUUUAAAUUUCUAGCACUUUACUUUUUUGCAAAUUUUAAUUUCCUAGUUUUUAAUUUCCAAAACCAAAAAUUAAUUCCCCCAAAUAUUUGCUCACAUUUUUCAUUGUAAGUACCAUAAGUCCUUGAGUCUACCAAUUUAUUUUGGUGAGUUCUUGGCUACUUUUUGGCUUCGGGAGACCUAAGCCGUGCUUGUGUGAGACUUGGUGUCUCACUUAGCCAUUUUACAAUUUUUCUUUUAGUUUAGCAAGUGACUUUUGUGACCCAUAAACCAUUGGAUUUGAGUUAGCUCAAGAUCCCCGAGGUACGAUAUUUCCGGGUUUAAAUAUUUCCCAAUUCUUUGAUGACCGUGUCCUUGUUGCGCGUAAGUUGCAUUUUAGGCAUC